rnacentral:lncRNA from 1 species
UCUUAAAAGUAUAUAGUAUUGUGUGUAUAUCUUUUUAAAGGUAACAGAUAUCAACCUACUAUAAACUGCAAAGAUGAUCAGUAGUUCAAGACCUUCAAUUUGAGGUCAAUGUCAGGUCAUGAUGAAAUUUCACCUUGACCUUCACAUUAUACUAUGACCUUGACCUUGUGAUAUUUGAAAGGUCAAGUGGUCCUGAGUUGAAUGGUGAUAGUCCCAUGUCUCUACGACUUCCGGUUCUCAAGUUUUGUAUUGCAUCAUAUAUUUGAUGAUUAAUUGUGACCUUGGUGAACUUUGAAAUUGUCCAAUUCUUUUUCUAUAAUGUUGUCCUUCAACUGUAGAUCAUUUAUCAUUUAACAGAUUUGAGAUAUCUAUUGUCGUUUUAGAGAUAAUGCAGUUUGAAGUUUUUGCGAGCGGAGGCAUGUAUUUCUGAAUCAUCAAGAGCUUACCACUUAAAAUGUUUUAGAAAUUGAAGAGGUUGACAUAGUUAUAUGUUUGACCAAAUACCAAAAACAUUCCAUGGAAAAAAACACCCAAAAAAUCAAUUUGAAAUUUUCAAUGUUUUGCAUUGACUUUGUAAGUUUCAUAACUUCUAUUUAUAUAGUUGAUAUUGCAUCAUUAUUUGCACUUUGUCAAAUGGGGUCAUCUGAUAUAUCAAAUUGAAGGUCUUAAUAAACUCUACUUAAAAAAUGAAAAUUUUAAACCCCCUUUUCAUCCCAGGGGGAAGGGUGGGGUCAUUUAGUGCAAACAUUCAAAUUUCUCAGAUGGUAAGGUUGUCGCAUAUCAAAUGAAAGAACAUAAAGCGUACAUUUCAAAUUUCAAAUUGACGUCCCCCAAAAAUGGGUUGGAUGGGGUCAUUGAGUGCAAAAAAUAAAUUUUCUUUUAACGAUAGGGUUGUUGUAUAUCAAAUGAAAGGUCAUGAUGUGUACAUUUGAAAUAUCAAAUUCCCGACCUCCAAAAAUUAGUUGGAUAGGGUUAUUAAGUGCAAAAAUCAAACUUUCUAGAACAUGGCGUUGUCGCAUAUCAAAUGAAAGCUCAUCUACUCUGUGUUACAUAUAUCAUACUUCCGAUCUCAAAAAUGUAGGCGGAUGAGGUCAUUAAGUGUAAAAAGCGAAAAGUUUCAGAAGGUAUGCUUGUCGUAUAUCAAACGAAAGGUCGUACAAAGUACAUUACGAAAACAUCACUUUUACAGGAAAGACCUUUCAAUUGUUUUACAAACAAUUGAGAUACUAGUUUUUUUUUUUUUUUUUUUUUCUUCCAACA